UGGGGAAUUUUGGACAAUGGGGGCAACCCUGAUCCAGCCAUGCCGCGUGCGGGAAGAAGGCCUUCGGGUUGUAAACCGCUUUUGUCAGGGAAGAAAUCUCUUGGGCUAAUACCCCACGAAGGAUGACGGUACCUGAAGAAUAAGCACCGGCUAACUACGUGCCAGCAGCCGCGGUAAUACGUAGGGUGCAAGCGUUAAUCGGAAUUACUGGGCGUAAAGCGUGCGCAGGCGGUUAUGCAAGACAGGUGUGAAAUCCCCGGGCUUAACCUGGGAACUGCACUUGUGACUGCAUAGCUGGAGUACGGCAGAGGGGGGAUGGAAUUCCGCGUGUAGCAGUGAAAUGCGUAGAUAUGCGGAGGAACACCGAUGGCGAAGGCAGUCCCCUGGGCCUGUACUGACGCUCAUGCACGAAAGCGUGGGGAGCAAACAGGAUUAGAUACCCCCGUAGUCCCUGAGCGGGCUGGCAAGGCGCAU
rnacentral:rRNA from 1 species